UACGAAGGGGGCUAGCGUUGCUCGGAAUUACUGGGCGUAAAGGGCGCGUAGGCGGAUAUCUAAGUUGGGGGUGAAAUCCCUCGGCUCAACCGGGGAACUGCGUCUGAGACUGGAAGGCUUGAAUCCGGGAGAGGGAUGUGGAAUUCCAGGUGUAGCGGUGAAAUGCGUAGAUAUCUGGAGGAACACCGGUGGCGAAGGCGGCAUCCUGGACCGGUAUUGACGCUGAGGCGCGAAAGCCAGGGGAGCAAACGGG
rnacentral:rRNA from 1 species